rnacentral:rRNA from 1 species
UACGUAGGGGGCAAGCGUUGUCCGGAUUUAUUGGGCGUAAAGAGCGUGUAGGCGGCCAGGUAGGUCAGCUGUGAAAACUCGAGGCUCAACCUCGAGCUGUCGGCUGAAACCAUCUGGCUAGAGUCCGGAAGAGGAGAAUGGAAUUCCCGGUGUAGCGGUGAAAUGCGCAGAUAUCGGGAAGAACACCCGUGGCGAAGGCGGUGCUCUGGGACGGUACUGACGCUGAGACGCGAAAGCGUGGGGAGCGAACAGG